AUUGAACGCUGGCGGCAGGCCUAACACAUGCAAGUCGAGCGAGCGGCGGACGGGUGAGUACUGUAUGGCUACUGCCAGUUAGAGGGGGAUAACUGCUGGAGACGGUAGCUAAUACCGCAUACUAACGGAUAACCCAUAUGGGAUUAGCUAGUAGGUGAGGUAAUGGCUCACCUAGGCGACGAUCCCUAGCUGGUCUGAGAGGAUGAUCAGUCACACUGGAACUGAGACACGGUCCAGACUCCUACGGAGGCAGCAGUGGGGAAUAUUGGACAAUGGGCGCAAGCCUGAUGCAGCCAUGCCGCGUGUAUGAAGAAGGCCCUAGGGUUGUAAAGUACUUUCAGUCGGGAGGCGUUACCGACAGAAGAAGCACCGGCUAACUCCGUGCCAGCAGCCGCGGUAAUUC
rnacentral:rRNA from 1 species